rnacentral:tRNA from 1 species
GGGCGUUUAGCUCAGCUGGUUCAGAGCAUCUGCCUUACAAGCAGAGGGUCGGGGGUUCGAAUCCCUCAACACCCA